rnacentral:rRNA from 1 species
UACAGAGGUCUCAAGCGUUUGUUCGGAUUCAUUGGGCGUAAAGGGUGCGUAGGCGGCGCGGUAAGUCGGGUGUGAAAUCUUGGAGCUUAACUCCGAAACUGCAUUCGAUACUGCCGUGCUUGAGGACUGGAGAGGAGACUGGAAUUUACGGUGUAGCGGUGAAAUGCGUAGAUAUCGUAAGGGAAGACCAGUGGCGAAGGCGGGUCUCUGGACAGUUCUGACGCUGAGGCACGAAGGCCAGGGGAGCAAA